rnacentral:sRNA from 1 species
UACACGACACGUUCGUGUUUGUGUUACAGAGUACGUGGAAUGGGUGCUUUGGUUCUGAGCUUCUUUUCUUUUUAAGGGCUAUCUGACAACAUAUUGGUGGACGUCUUUAUUUUUUUCUUCAAAGCACAGUUUCUCUGUAAUCCUGGAUGUCUUGGAACUCUGUAGACCAGGAUGGACCAGACGGGUUUUGAACUCAAAGAUCCAUCUAUCUCUGCCGCAGGCGCCACAAUGCCCAGAUUCCAACUACACAACCCUUCUGCUCUUCACCAGAGUACCAGCAACUUCUGUGAGCAUGCGCUUCUCAUAGAAGGUUAUAGCACUAUCGCAGAACUACCAAGAAUGCAUCUAUCCACAAAACAGUGUUGACUAUCUAUGCCAUGUGGUUGAUGAAUGAGAAGAAAAAGCCAUACCAACUCUUGAGAAGGUAAAUUGCUAUGCACGGGGCAUAUAGAGGGAAGAACUUGUAACCAAAUACUUAGAGGGGCAGGAUUAUAGUCA